UACAGAGGUGGCAAGCGUUGUUCGGAAUUACUGGGCGUAAAGGGCGCGUAGGCGGUCUUGUAAGUCUCGUGUGAAAUCCCUCGGCUUAACUGAGGAACUGCACGGGAUACUGCUUGACUUGAGUUCGGGAGAGGGAAGCGGAAUUCCGGGUGUAGCGGUGAAAUGCGUAGAUAUCCGGAGGAACACCGGUGGCGAAGGCGGCUUCCUGGACCGACACUGACGCUGAGGAGCGAAAGCCAGGGGAGCAAACGGG
rnacentral:rRNA from 1 species